AAACGUUUCCGGAGCCUGGUAACUCCACCACCGUUGGCGAUAUUUGACAGCCAAUGGGAGCUGGAGUUCCCGCGUGCCGAACGUUCA
rnacentral:pre_miRNA from 1 species